rnacentral:lncRNA from 1 species
GAGCUCCAGACUCAGGCCUCUGGGUUCUUCCUCGUCAUUGGGAGUGUGCCCACAUUUCAGGAGGGUAGCCUGGCCAGUGGAUCACUCCUAUUGACUAGUACAGUAUUUCUUUUAUGGGAUCAUCCUCACACAAUGAGGGAGACAGUAGCCCAGAGGUGGCCAAGCCUAUGUCCUCCAAGGGCACUGUUGCCCAGCUGCACCAAGUGGCUCUUUCGACGGAUGACUCAUUGAUAUGGUGAGGUGUUCUCCAAGGUCUCUCUUAGGCCAUGCAGAAUAGUGACGAACCUUUCUCGCUCAUUCUACCCCUGGACUCCUUGUCUAUUCUCCUGCUGUAAUGUGUGGGAGGCAGGGGU